UACGUAGGUGGCAAGCGUUGUCCGGAUUUACUGGGCGUAAAGAGCGCGCAGGCGGUCGUGCAAGUCGCGUGUGAAAGCCCCCGGCUCAACUGGGGAGGGUCACGCGAUACUGCUCGACUUGAAGGCAGGAGAGGGAAGUGGAAUUCCCGGUGUAGUGGUGAAAUGCGUAGAUAUCGGGAGGAACACCAGUGGCGAAGGCGACUUCCUGGCCUGUUCUUGAUGCUGAGGCGCGAAAGCUAGGGUAGCAAACGGG
rnacentral:rRNA from 1 species